rnacentral:rRNA from 1 species
ACGCUCGACACCUACGGGAGGCAGCAGUGGGGAAUAUUGCGCAAUGGGGGGCAACCCUGACGCAGCAACGCCGCGUGAUUGAAGAAGGCCUGGUUGUAAGANUUAUNAGGAGAAANAGACGGUACCGUCGAAGAAAUAAAGACUCCGGCCUAACCUAACGUGUCAGCAGCCGCGGUAAUCUGAGCGGGCGUGGCAAGGCG